UAGUGAAUAUAGGACGUCCAACUUAACUUGGAGUCCGAACUCUCACUUUCUAACCCUGUGCACUUGUUUGGGAUAGUAACUCUCGCAAGAGAGCGAACUCCUAUUCACUUAUAAACACAAAGUCUAUGAAUGUAUUAAAUUUUAUAACAAAAUAAAACUUUCAACAACGGAUCUCUUGGCUCUCGCAUCGAUGAAGAACGCAGCGAAAUGCGAUAAGUAAUGUGAAUUGCAGAAUUCAGUGAAUCAUCGAAUCUUUGAACGCACCUUGCGCUCCAUGGUAUUCCGUGGAGCAUGCCUGUUUGAGUGUCAUGAAUACUUCAACCCUCCUCUUUCUUAAUGAUUGAAGAGGUGUUUGGUUUCUGAGCGCUGCUGGCCUUUACGGUCUAGCUCGUUCGUAAUGCAUUAGCAUCCGCAAUCGAACUUCGGAUUGACUUGGCGUAAUAGACUAUUCGCUGAGGAAUUCUAGUCUUCGGAUUAGAGCCGGGUUGGGUUAAAGGAAGCUUCUAAUCAGAAUGUCUACAUUUUAAGAUUAGAUCUCAAAUCAGGUAGGACUACCCGCUGAACUUAAGCAUAUCAAUAAGCGGAGGAAAAGAAACUAACAAGGAUUCCCCUAGUAGCGGCGAGCGAAGCGGGAAGAGCUCAAAUUUAUAAUCUGGCACCUUCGGUGUCCGAGUUGUAAUCUCUAGAAAUGUUUUCCGCGUUGGACCGCACACAAGUCUGUUGGAAUACAGCGGCAUAGUGGUGAGACCCCCGUAUAUGGUGCGGACGCCCAGCGCUUUGUGAUACAUUUUCGAAGAGUCGAGUUGUUUGGGAAUGCAGCUCAAAUUGGGUGGUAAAUUCCAUCUAAAGCUAAAUAUUGGCGAGAGACCGAUAGCGAACAAGUACCGUGAGGGAAAGAUGAAAAGCACUUUGGAAAGAGAGUUAACAGUACGUGAAAUUGUUGGAAGGGAAACGCUUGAAGUCAGACUUGCUUGCCGAGCAAUCGGUUUGCAGGCCAGCAUCAGUUUUCCGGGAUGGAUAAUGGUAGAGAGAAGGUAGCAGUUUCGGCUGUGUUAUAGCUCUCUGCUGGAUACAUCUUGGGGGACUGAGGAACGCAGUGUGCCUUUGGCGGGGGUUUCGAC
rnacentral:rRNA from 1 species